rnacentral:ncRNA from 1 species
AGAUUCUUCAGCGUGGAAUCGAUAGGCUUGAUAAACAGAUCGUUGUUUUUCAGCCGCACGUCGCCUUUGGCGGUGGUCAUCUCGCCAUCGAGCGGGAUGGUAAGAUGUAAGCGAGCGCUCACAUUACCAUCAAGCUGCAGUUCAUCCAGCGCCGAGCCGAGCGUAUCCUUCAGCGGCGUCUGUUUGAAAUAAGGCCCCACGUCUUUGCCCGGGCCGUUGACGUCGGCAUCAAUAAACAGCUUCUCGUGCGAGUAGUCAGGGAUCACCGCGUCGAGAUUGCUGGCGGUGACGUUCCCCAGCAUCGUCUUAUCCGCCUUCAUCCACAGACCGUUGUUCACAAAGUUGAGAUCGAUGUUCAGGCCGGUCAGCGCCGGCCAGUCCGGCUGGAAGGCGAAGGUCGCGUUCUUCAGCGGCAC